rnacentral:rRNA from 1 species
CAUUACUGAGUUUACGCUCUACAACCCUUUGUGAACUUACCUAUAACUGUUGCUUCGGCGGGUAGGGUCUCCGUGACCCUCCCGGCCUCCCGCCCCCGGGCGGGUCGGCGCCCGCCGGAGGAUAACCAAACUCUGAUUUAACGACGUUUCUUCUGAGUGGUACAAGCAAAUAAUCAAAACUUUUAACAACGGAUCUCUUGGUUCUGGCAUCGAUGAAGAACGCAGCGAAAUGCGAUAAGUAAUGUGAAUUGCAGAAUUCAGUGAAUCAUCGAAUCUUUGAACGCACAUUGCGCCCGCCAGCAUUCUGGCGGGCAUGCCUGUUCGAGCGUCAUUUCAACCCUCAAGCUCUGCUUGGUGUUGGGGCCCUACAGCUGAUGUAGGCCCUCAAAGGUAGUGGCGGACCCUCCCGGAGCCUCCUUUGCGUAGUAACUUUACGUCUCGCACUGGGAUCCGGAGGGACUCUUGCCGUAAAACCCCCAAUUUCCAAAGGUGAC